rnacentral:tRNA from 1 species
AAAAAAUUAAAGGUUUAUAAAGGAGCUGCUAACUCUUUUAUUAGUGGUUCAAUUCCAUUAAUUUUUUU